rnacentral:rRNA from 1 species
UUGCAGUUAAAAGCUCGUAGUUGGAUUUCAGGCGGGGACCCGAGUACCCCUGGUGGGUGUGCGCGGGCCCGGCCAUCCUUCUGUCAACUUUCGCGCGUCCUUCACCGGUCGGCAAAGGGAUCAGAUAAUUUACCUUGAGAAAAUUAGAGUGUUUCAGGCAGGCUUAGCCGGAAUACAUUAGCAUGGAAUAAUGGAAUAGGACUGAGGUCUCGUUGUUGGUUACGCGGACUCCAGUAAUGAUUAAUAGGGACAGUUGGGGGCAUUAGUAUUUAUUAGCUAGAGGUGGAAUUCUCUAAUUUGAUAAAGACUAACUUAUGCGAAAGCAUUUGCCAAGGAUGUUUUCAUUAAUCAGGAACGAAAGUUAGGGGAUCCAAAGGGACCGAAUUCCAGAUUACCGUCCUAGUCUUAACCAUAAACUAUGCCGACUCGGGAUCGGGAGCGUGUGUUAUCCGCUUUCGGCACCGUAUGAGAAAUCAAAGUCUUUGGGUUUCUGGGGGGAGUAUGGUCGCAAGGCUGAAACU